UGGGGAAUAUUGGGCAAUGGGCGCAAGCCUGACCCAGCAACGCCGCGUGAAGGAAGAAGGCUUUCGGGUUGUAAACUUCUUUUAUCAGGGACGAAACAAAUGACGGUACCUGAUGAAUAAGCCACGGCUAACUACGUGCCAGCAGCCGCGGUAAUACGUAGGUGGCAAGCGUUAUCCGGAUUUACUGGGUGUAAAGGGCGUGUAGGCGGGACUGCAAGUCAGAUGUGAAACCCAUGGGCUCAACCCAUGGCCUGCAUUUGAAACUGUAGUUCUUGAGUGAUGGAGAGGCAGGCGGAAUUCCGU
rnacentral:rRNA from 1 species